UACGGGGGGGGCAAGCGUUGUUCGGAAUUACUGGGCGUAAAGGGCUCGUAGGUGGCCAACUAAGUCAGACGUGAAAUCCCCAGGCUCAACUUGGGAACUGCGUCUGAUACUGGAUGGCUUGAAUUCGGGAGAGGGAUGCAGAAUUCCAGGUGUAGCGGUGAAAUGCGUAGAUAUCUGGAGGAAUACCGGUGGCGAAGGCGGCAUCCUGGACCGAGAUUGACACUGAUGAGCGGAAGCUAGGGGAGCAAACGGG
rnacentral:rRNA from 1 species